rnacentral:tRNA from 1 species
GGGAGUGAAGCUCAGUGGAGGAGCACUUACCUACCAUGCAGGAGGUCCUGGGUUCCAGCCUCAGCACUAUUA